AACGAACGCUGGCGGCAUGCCUAACACAUGCAAGUCGAACGAGACCUUCGGGUCUAGUGGCGCACGGGUGCGUAACGCGUGGGAACCUGCCCUUAGGUUCGGAAUAACUCCCCGAAAGGGGUGCUAAUACCGGAUAAUGUCUUCGGACCAAAGAAUUAUCGCCUUUGGAUGGGCCCGCGUUGGAUUAGCUAGUUGGUAGGGUAAAAGCCUACCAAGGCGACGAUCCAUAGCUGGUCUGAGAGGAUGAUCAGCCACACUGGGACUGAGACACGGCCCAGACUCCUACGGGAGGCAGCAGUGGGGAAUAUUGGGCAAUGGGCGAAAGCCUGAUCCAGCAAUGCCGCGUGAGUGAUGAAGGCCUUAGGGUUGUAAAGCUCUUUUACCCGGGAUGAUAAUGACAGUACCGGGAGAAUAAGCUCCGGCUAACUCCGUG
rnacentral:rRNA from 1 species